UACGAAGGGGGCUAGCGUUGCUCGGAAUCACUGGGCGUAAAGGGUGCGUAGGCGGGUUAUUAAGUCAGAGGUGAAAUCCUGGAGCUCAACUCCAGAACUGCCUUUGAUACUGAUAGUCUUGAGUAUGGGAGAGGUGAGUGGAACUGCGAGUGUAGAGGUGAAAUUCGUAGAUAUUCGCAAGAACACCAGUGGCGAAGGCGGCUCACUGGCCCAUUACUGACGCUGAGGCACGAAAAGCGUGGGGGAGCAAACAGG
rnacentral:rRNA from 1 species